rnacentral:rRNA from 1 species
GGAAUAUUGCACAAUGGGGGAAACCCUGAUGCAGCCAUGCCGCGUGUGUGAAGAAGGCCUUCGGGUUGUAAAGCACUUUCAGCGAGGAGGAAAGGUUGAUGCCUAAUACGCAUCAGCUGUGACGUUACUCGCAGAAGGAGCACCGGCUAACUCCGUGCCAGCAGCCGCGGUAAUACGGAGGGUGCAAGCGUUAAUCGGAAUUACUGGGCGUAAAGCGCACGCAGGCGGUUGGAUAAGUUAGAUGUGAAAGCCCCGGGCUCAACCUGGGAAUUGCAUUUAAAACUGUCCAGCUAGAGUCUUGUAGAGGGGGGUAGAAUUCCAGGUGUAGCGGUGAAAUGCGUAGAGAUCUGGAGGAAUACCGGUGGCGAAGGCGGCCCCCUGGACAAAGACUGACGCUCAGGUGCGAAAGCGUGGGGAGCAAACA